AUCUUUAGUUUACCCAUUAGGAGAACAAAAAAAAGACAAUAAAAUACACGAGCCAUCGUUUUGUCUCUCUCCCCUUGAAUACAGUCAAUCUAUGGUACAAAAGUAUUCGGCAAUCAUAAUGUAUCUCCAGGAGUAAUAUUGUAAUUCUUAUUCGAUAGAUAAUAAUAUCCUAACACGUAAAUACCAAUAAUUACUAUAUAAUAGGAACUUGAACAUAAAAGACUCUGUAAUAGAAAUCUAAUUAAUGUACACAUAUCUAUAAACUCAUUGUUCUAUCCAUAUCAACAAACUCCCCGAAAUUUCGAUUAAAAGUUACGACACGGAAUUCGACCUUACAUAGAGGAAAUACUUGAGCAAUGCAACACUACAGAGAGCAGGAGUGACGGCUUCUCCUCC
rnacentral:misc_RNA from 1 species